rnacentral:tRNA from 1 species
GGGGCCGUGGGGUAGCUUGGUCCAUCCUUUGGGCUUCGGGAGCCCGAGACCCGGGUUCAAAUCCCGGCGGCCCCACCA